rnacentral:rRNA from 1 species
UAGGGAAUCUUCCACAAUGGACGCAAGUCUGAUGGAGCAACGCCGCGUGAGUGAAGAAGGUUUUCGGAUCGUAAAGCUCUGUUGUUGGUGAAGAAGGAUAGAGGCAGUAACUGGUCUUUAUUUGACGGUAAUCAACCAGAAAGUCACGGCUAACUACGUGCCAGCAGCCGCGGUAAUACGUAGGUGGCAAGCGUUGUCCGGAUUUAUUGGGCGUAAAGCGAGCGCAGGCGGAAUGAUAAGUCUGAUGUGAAAGCCCACGGCUCAACCGUGGAACUGCAUCAGAAACUGUCAUUCUUGAGUGCAGAAGAGGAGAGUGGAAUUCCAUGUGUAGCGGUGGAAUGCGUAGAUAUAUGGAAGAACACCAGUGGCGAAGGCGGCUCUCUGGUCUGCAACUGACGCUGAGGCUCGAAAGCAUGGGUAGCGAACAGG